AGAACCCACAAAGGGUGUUGGUCG
rnacentral:snRNA from 1 species